GAAGUAAAAAUCGUAACAAGGUCUCCGUUGGUGAACCAGCGGAGGGAUCAUUACCGAGUUUACAACUCCCAAACCCCUGUGAACAUACCAAUUGUUGCCUCGGCGGAUCAGCCCGCUCCCGGUAAAACGGGACGGCCCGCCAGAGGACCCCUAAACUCUGUUUCUAUAUGUAACUUCUGAGUAAAACCAUAAAUAAAUCAAAACUUUCAACAACGGAUCUCUUGGUUCUGGCAUCGAUGAAGAACGCAGCAAAAUGCGAUAAGUAAUGUGAAUUGCAGAAUUCAGUGAAUCAUCGAAUCUUUGAACGCACAUUGCGCCCGCCAGUAUUCUGGCGGGCAUGCCUGUUCGAGCGUCAUUUCAACCCUCAAGCCCCCGGGUUUGGUGUUGGGGAUCGGCGAGCCCUUGCGGCAAGCCGGCCCCGAAAUCUAGUGGCGGUCUCGCUGCAGCUUCCAUUGCGUAGUAGUAAAACCCUCGCAACUGGUACGCGGCGCGGCCAAGCCGUUAAACCCCCAACUUCUGAAUGUUGACCUCGGAUCAGGUAGGAAUACCCGCUGAACUUAAGCAUAUC
rnacentral:rRNA from 1 species